CCACACUCAUUUUAAGAUAAUAAAAGAAAUUAGUUUUUCAUAAAAUAAGAAUUUAUUUUUUAAAGAAAUGAAAAAAAUUAUUACGAGAAGAGAAAUAUGUUAAAAAAAAAAAGAUAGACUACCUCCAAACACACAGGAAAGUAAAAGGACAAAAAGUAAAAACAUCAACACAAAAAAGCAACCCACCCUUUCAUAAGAGAGGAUACCAUGAAAAAUCAUGAGCCUCUACCCACAUAUAUGCAAAGAACACCACUCAAUCACAAAAUAGAGAAAGCAAGUAAAACCAUUGCUUAGAGAUCCUAACAUUCCAUUCCAACCAUAAGACCCACAACCCAAUAAAAUAUACCACUUUGACAUCACCUUUUACUCCUCAACGUUAAUUAAAGACUAUUAUAUUACUCCACCAAUUAAGAUAAACUAAAUCUUCACGAGAGUUUUUAUACCUUCAAAUUUCUUAUUAUCCACCAGG
rnacentral:lncRNA from 1 species